GACGAACGCUGGCGGCGUGCUUAACACAUGCAAGUCGAACGGAAAGGCCCUGCUUUUGUGGGGUGCUCGAGUGGCGAACGGGUGAGUAACACGUGAGUAACCUGCCCUUGACUUUGGGAUAACUUCAGGAAACUGGGGCUAAUACCGGAUAGGAGCUCCUGCUGCAUGGUGGGGGUUGGAAAGUUUCGGCGGUUGGGGAUGGACUCGCGGCUUAUCAGCUUGUUGGUGGGGUAGUGGCUUACCAAGGCUUUGACGGGUAGCCGGCCUGUGAGGGUGACCGGCCACAUUGGGACUGAGAUACGGCCCAGACUCCUACGGGAGGCAGCAGUGGGGAAUAUUGCACAAGGGGCGGAAGCCUGAUGCAGCAACGCCGCGUGCGGGAUGACGGCCUUCGGGUUGUAAACCGCUUUCGCCUGUGACGAAGCGUGAGUGACGGUAAUGGGUAAAGAAGCACCGGCUAACUACGUG
rnacentral:rRNA from 1 species